rnacentral:rRNA from 1 species
AUUGAACGCUGGCGGCAGGCCUAACACAUGCAAGUCGAACGAGUGGCGGACGGGUGAGUAAUGUCUGGGAAAGUGCCUGAUGGAGGGGGAUAACUACUGGACACGGUAGCUAAUACCGCCUACCAGCAGCUGUGCCCAGGUGGGAUUAGCUAGUUGGUGGGGUACCGGCUCACCAAGGCGACGAUCCCUCGCUGGUCUGAGAGGAUGAACAGCCACACUGGAACUGAGACACGGUCCAGAGUCCUACGGGAGGCAGCAGUGGGGAAUAUUGCACAAUGGGCGCAAGCCUGAUGCAGCCAUGCCGCGUGUAUGAAGAAGGCCUUCGGAUUGUAAAGGACUUUAAGUGGGGAGGCGUUACCCGCAGAAGAAGCACCGGCUAACUCCGUGCCAGCAGCCGCGGUAAUAC